CAUGGUUGUCGUCAGCUCGUGUCGUGAGAUGUUGGGUUAAGUCCCGCAACGAGCGCAACCCUUGAUCUUAGUUGCCAGCAUUCAGUUGGGCACUCUAAGGUGACUGCCGGUGACAAACCGGAGGAAGGUGGGGAUGACGUCAAAUCAUCAUGCCCCUUAUGACCUGGGCUACACACGUGCUACAAUGGACAGAACAAAGGGCAGCGAAACCGCGAGGUUAAGCCAAUCCCACAAAUCUGUUCUCAGUUCGGAUCGCAGUCUGCAACUCGACUGCGUGAAGCUGGAAUCGCUAGUAAUCGCGGAUCAGCAUGCCGCGGUGAAUACGUUCCCGGGCCUUGUACACACCGCCCGUCACACCACGAGAGUUUGUAACACCCGAAGUCG
rnacentral:rRNA from 1 species